UAGGGAAUCUUCGGCAAUGGACGAAAGUCUGACCGAGCAACGCCGCGGGAGUGAAGAAGGUUUUCGGAUCGUAAAACUCUGUUGUUAGAGAAGAACAAGGACGUUAGUAACUGAACGUCCCCUGACGGUAUCUAACCAGAAAGCCACGGCUAACUACGUGCCAGCAGCCGCGGUAAUACGUAGGUGGCAAGCGUUGUCCGGAUUUAUUGGGCGUAAAGCGGGCGCAGGCGGUUUCUUAAGUCUGAUGUGAAAGCCCCCGGCUCAACCGGGGAGGGUCAUUGGAAACUGGGAGACUUGAGUGCAGAAGAGGAGAGUGGAAUUCCAUGUGUAGCGGUGAAAUGCGUAGAUAUAUGGAGGAACACCAGUGGCGAAGGCGGCUCUCUGGUCUGUAACUGACGCUGAGGCUCGAAAGCGUGGGGAGCAAACAGG
rnacentral:rRNA from 1 species